rnacentral:lncRNA from 1 species
CAUUUUACAUCUAAUUAUAUUCUUUAAAAAAUGAGAAACCAGUAAGAUUAAUCACAAUAGGAAUUCUCAUUGAAGAUCAGACACAAGUUAAAGGUCCAAAAGCCAAACAUACAUGCCAGACAACAACUACUGAGAAUAAAAAGUUUCAGACACUUGAAAUGACAUGAUAAACAAUGACCUCAAGAAUCCAUAACAAAUGCCAGAUUCACCCACAAGAUUAAUUCCCUUCACCUAAUCUACUUAAACAAGCUCCCUACUAUUUCUUCUUGAUGUUAUAACUUUCCGAUUUCUCGAAAUUCCCUCCACCCGCCGCCUGUGCUGCUUUCCUUGCCGCCUUUUCUUGAAGUGCCUUUGCAUCCCUGUUGAGAUAUUAAACACAACAUCCGUGUUAGGAACACAAGCUAAUCGCCCUAAAACACGAGACUUUUGGAGAAAAUUGGCGAAGGAGGAACCUUUCUCGUCUUUGUUCAGGAGUUAAUCCAUCAUUCUUAGGUUGCUUGGUCUUGUGAUUUUCCCUGGCUUGAGCCCUUUCACGAUAUCUAUCUCUCUGGUUCCCGCGUUAGCUUAAGUUAAGGUCAAAACAGGUAGGGAUCGAAUUAAAGUAUGGCAACAUCUAACCAAAGAGAAGGAAAAAAAAACUAAUCUUUGGACCCCAUAGCUGAAGGUAAGAUCACGAGCUUAUGAAGAAUGAAAAUUUAAACUUGACGAAUCCAACCUUUAAAGUUCUUAGCACUGAAUUCAUUGUAUUUUUUUAAUUAUGAAUUCAAAAUUUAAUAUUCAUUGAUAUUUUAAUAACUUUUCACAUAUAUAUUCCCCGUAGAAAAUAGUGGUUCACUUGAACUCACUUUAUAUAGGCUGCAUUCGCCUCUUAUCUGAAGUAUUAUCAAUAUGAGAGAUCACAAUUGAAAGGGCUCAAAUUAAAUCCCCCGACCCCACCUGAUUUCUUAGCAACCAGACGAAUGGAGAAAGAAUCUUGUUUAUCGUUUGACAAAAAUAUGCAUGAAUGUCAGAAAGAUCAUGUUAUGAAAGAAUGGUUAAUUAAAUAGUACGAGAUAUUAUACUUUUAACAAAGGCUCUAUUUUUAGAUUCUUCCCCCAAUUUCUAGGCAACCAACCAAAAGGAUCAAAUGAGCUUGUACAUGAAUAAGCACCAAUAGAAAAAAUAAGAGCUUACCCCAGAAAAAGUUCUAUCUUGAGAUAAUAGUAAGGUUGCGCACGCACUAUCCUCCUCGUACCCCUUAUGGGAUUACACGGGGUUUGUUAUUGUUGUACUCUUACCCGGCGGCGGAGGCAGAAUUUUUGCUAAGGGGUUCAAAAUAGAAAAGUUAAAAAAUUAAAAAAGAAUGUGGCCAGAAUUGAACCAAGGAUCUCUUACAAAGGUUUUGAACCCGAGCUAUGCUUUUGGACAAUAUGAAGGAGAUUCAAAAUAAAAUAUAUAAAGUCAUAAAAUAGAUUUUGCCUUAUAUGUAAAGUGUAAUUUUUCGACGGCAGUAUCAGAGUAAAUCACUUUCCGCCCUCCUAAAUCCGCCCUUACCCAAUUUUAGGCAAACAACCCAAAAUAACUAAAAUCUAAGCGACCAAACAAAUGAAAAAAGAAAGAACCUUGUUUAUGAAAAGGGAAAGAAAAAACCGAUGAAGAUUAGCAUGAAGAAAAUCAGAGAAAAGAAACAUAUCAGAAGGAUAUGAGACAUUCCCAAUUCUCCAACAGCCAAACAAAAUUAGAUGGAUAAAUAGCUCUAGACAAGAUCCUGGAACCAAAACACAAACCAAAAAAAAAAAAAAAGGAGGAAAUUUUAGAAGAAAAGAAAACCAUCACCGAAUUACACCCUAACAGAACCGAACGAAAUUGACAGAUGAGAAAUAAUAAUUCGUGUAAAAGAAAUUGGGGUUUAUCUGAUUGAGCUUGGAUUAGAAGUUGUUUGCUUAAGAUCGACCUUGAAAUUUGAGAACAAACUUCAAAGCAGCAGAAUGAUAUUGAGAAGUUGGGUUAUUUGGAAAUGCCAGGGUUUAGGGAAGUAGGUGAUUUAUAGUGUAAGAUCAGAAGCAUCGAGAAGUCACGGUUUCUCUUUUUCCUCUUCACGUUUUAUUCCACUGAGCGUAUAAAAUGUGAGGUUAGACAAAAUUUUAG